rnacentral:lncRNA from 1 species
UUUUAAUAGGGAGAAAAAUAUGCAUAAAAUUAUGAAGAAAAAUAAUAGAAAAAGAGAUUAAAUAGCCUUAUUACCUCAGGUGUAAAAGUGAGAGCAACCUUAACCUCUCCACAAUAUUUUUCAUCUUUCACAAGUUUGUAAGAAUUCUCUGGAACGCUACCCUCUUGAAUCACUGUCUCUAAAGGAAUUCUAUAGGCAGAAAUGAAUGCCAAAAUUGCAAAUUACAACUUUCUAACCUCCUUUUAAGUGUAAACUAGUUUUAAGAAAAGAAGUGUACACUAUCAAUAUAAACUAGUUUUACACCAACAUUCAACUUUUUCAGUUAUUUUAAAUUGCAGUAAGAAAGUUGGUUUACCUUGCAAUAUAAAAGUUCUUAUGGAGUAUAAACUUGUUUUGAGUUUUUAUUGAAUAUCAGUGUAAUACUAUUUUACACUGACAAAUGACAAUGUAUCUCCAUUUAAUUCGAAAGAAGACGAAUCAAAGGAAAAUUUGCAAGUAUAAGAAGAAUUUAACUCACAUUACUUCUCCAAGAUUAUCAUCAGCACUAUAGUUGUCCUUUUCCAUUAUCUUUAGAUUGAGCUCAUAAGCAGUGUCAGAAACAGUGAAAAGAAAUGUCUCAUUCCAUUGAGGGUUGGAUCCAGCACCUGAUAUUAUUCAUAAUACAAUAAUCAAGCAACUAGAGAGAAAUAAAAAUUAACAAAUAAGCAGAUUAAUACUAUGUUUAUCAUCAGAUUCAGAAAUGUACCUUCUUGCACAGUACUCUUGUGCUCCUGUGCCCUGUAAGUGAGGAUCACAUAAGGAUCUAUGCUAGCUGCUCAUUCAGAACAAAGAUCAAGACUUUAGAGGAUCAUAUCUUGAUCAAUUUUAUUAGUAAAAUUGGUAAUUCAACAUUAUUAUAUGAUUUUAGUUUUUUAGAAAGAAAAAAAGAACGAUACUCGUUCAUAUUGUUGAUAGAGUACAUCGAAUACAAUAUCAAAUUCAACGUCGCUAAAAACGAAAAAAUGAUGAAUCUGUAGACAAACUCGCAAAACCCGAAAUAAUAGUAUACAACAGCAAAAUAUCUGCAAAUAAUAUGAUAAAACUAAAUGAUCGGAAUACUCAUGGCUAGGGUUAUGCAAUGUUGACAUCUAAGUCAUUGAUUGAAUCAAUAAUUGAUUAAAGUUGAUCCUUCAAUAUGAAUCAAUAGAACAUCGUAACAAGAUAUAAUAUCAAACAACGCCGCACCACGAUGACGAACAACAAAAGGGCCGACUCGUGAAUUGGGCUAUUAUAUGAUUAUAGUUACAACUAAUUAGAAAUUUAACAAAGAAAAAUAAAACCUGAAUUGAUUCACUAAUUCAAUCAGCAAUGAAAAAUAGACUCAAUUAACAAGCUUUAGGAACAAAAAAUAUAUAGAUCGGACCAACUUAAGAUGAAAAUUUUCUUUAGAUUAAUUUGAUCACAAGAUUUCAUACUUUUGGAUCCAUUGAUUGAUGCAGAAAUUUCAAUGAGAAUGUACAUAAUAUUAAUUUACUUACAGAGAAAAUCAUUGUCUUCAAGGCCUUUAGCACUGAUCAAAACAACUUCAAGCGUUCCACGAGGCAUCUUUCUCUGAUUUCAAAAAUUCUAAAUGGUUAAGAGCUUUUGAUUCUAGAUUAUGAUUAUCUCUAAAAGAUUGAAUUCACUGUACCAAAAAAAUGCCUGAAUCAGUGUAUAUAUAGUAUUAAAUUGAGUUUGAUUGGAUCCAACUUUUUUUCCUUUUAAAUGUUGAGUCCCUUUAGGAUUGUUUUUUCCAAUAUACAAUAUGCACUCUAAAUAGCUUAUGUCAUUAUUUUCUACGCAUAUAUACAUACAUAUUCCAAUUCAUUCCACCAUUUUAUUUUAUAUAAAUACAUAAUGAUGUGAUUCAUUUAUUUUUUUCAAGAAAAAUGAUGUGAUUGCUGAACUUCAAUAAAUCGGUUGGGAGCAAUAAAUUCAAUCCACAAUUAGAAUAAUUUUUGUCUAAAUUUUACUUAUCCUUGGACCAAAGUUCAUGUUACUAUUUCCCUUUCCUUAUGAACUAGAGUUAAGAAAUUGUAAUUGAUGCUGAUAAUUUAUGUUGGUUUAUAAAGACAAUCUACCUUCUUAUGAAAUAAAAAUAUUAUCUUAUCAUAUACAUAUUAAAUAUCCAAGUGGCGGGUUCCUUAUAUCAUUACAUUCAUUGAAUCAUUGCAGGAGUGGACUAAGAUUUUUUGUAAAAGGGAAACUAAAAGCACAAUAUCAAAGAUGAAAGCUUUGUGUAUUAUCCUCUUCAGAAGUGUGUUUUUACACUAACAAAUGAGUCUUAUUUUAUAGGACACAAAAUGAGCAAGUGAGUGAUCAAAGUAAUUAAGAACCACUAACUAUUCAUUUUACAUAAUACACUUUCCCCCUGAACAAUACAACCAUGUCUGAGACGACGAAGACCAAUUUUUUUGUAUUAGUUGUUCAAAAACUCUGCUUGCAUUGGCGGAGCCAUUAGGGUGCAAGGGGUUGUCAUGGCAUCCCCAAAGUUUUAAAAAAUUCAUUUUUAAUAGGUAUAUAUACACAUUUUUAAUUAAAUGUUAUUUACCUUCAACUUACUUAUAUAUUAAUUUUUGCAUUAUAAAUCAUGACUUUACGGUCUAGCAAAGCGGUUAAGUGCCUCUCCUUUCAUCAUUAAGUCUUAUGUAUAAUUUUUUCUUAGUUCAUUUUUAGCUUUGACUCAUAUUUUUUGUAUUUUUUGAACAAAAAAUGCAAUGAAAACAUUGUAAAACGCAAGUAUCAAAAACUAUGGUUGGGGGAGAAACAUAAAAACAAACGAACCACCUGACUACAACUUUAAUUGUAAUUAUUUUUGUCACAAUAUAUAUUUAUAUCUUAAAAAUAUGCCUCUCCAUAGAAAAAUUCUUAGCCCCGCCACUGACUGAUUGGGAGUGACUUUAUGAAAAGGUCUGCAAGACUAUCACAUGAACAAAUUUGUUGAAUGUUUAUAUCACCAUUCUUCUGAAGAUCAUGAGUGAAUUUUUUUUAAGAAAAAUAUGUUUAGUUCGAUCUUUUUUAAUGUAACCUUCUUUCAACUAAGCAAUGCAUGCAAUAUUAUCUUCAGAAAUAAUUGUCACAUUUAUUCUCCCGAUAGAUAAACUGCAACUCGUAUGUGCUGAAUUAGAGACCUUAGCCAAACACAUUUUCGACUUACCUUAUGUAGUGUUAAGAGUUCAUCAUGAUUUGAUGAUGUUGCUGUUAUGGUUUAUUUCACAGAUCUCCAUGAAAUGGUUGUACCUCCACAUGUAAACAAGCAACAUGUUUGUGAUCUUCCAUUAUGAAGAUCUGACAAAUAACUUGCAUCUCCAUAAUAUUGUAAGAGAAGUUUACUUGAAUGCAAAGAAGGGUCUCCUCAUAUGCAUAGGUGGACCAAGUUCCAAGCUAGUUUGAUUCCUCCGUUGUCUUAAUGAAGGGCAACCUCCAUUUCUCCGCCAUCCUGAUCUUAUCUUCAGUUGAUACCCGCUGCCAUCGCUACAUCAACACCGCACAAUAGGUUUUUUUUUUUUUUUCGUUGAAGAAACGGAGUUCGAACCACGACUCAUCCACUUAUGUGUGUGAGAGUUUCUAAUGACUAUUGUCAUUUCAUCUUUCUAAAAAAAAUUAAAACUUGGCAUGCUAUGCACAUUCCAAAAAUAAUCUAGAACUCACCUUAUAAAAUUAAUUCACAAUUGAUAUGGUAAGUGCUACUUAAUUUAUAGACCAAUUUCAAAUCUGUAAUGCCACACUUUUCCAAACUUGAGGUGUGCGAUUCUCACCAAUUGACCAAAAAAAAAAUCACAAUUGAUUCUUUAGAAUUUCAUUGUUUGAUUGUUUGCCACAAUUUGUUAAACACCGGAAAUAUCGGUGUUUAGUUGAACAAAAUGUAUGAGCAGGAACUUGAUUGUUAAUAAGAAACUCAAAAUGAGAGAGAAAUGAAGUGAAUAGAAAGGAGAAAUUCUGUUAUUGAAUGAAUGAGUUUGUUACAAUGAGCAUGUACUUAUUUAUAAGCUAUUGAGUGUACAUUGUAGCUAUCAUAUACUAUCUAUAUGCUAACACUAUCUACCCUUACUGUCACAACUCAGAUACAGUUGGCAUGCUUAGUUAGUUAGGGUUGAGUCCGGUAACUUGCUUCUCAAGUAACCUCAUCUUCUUCUUCAAUUCUUAACAGCCUCCCACAUGCUGGUGCUUGGUAUAUAUCUACCAUGCCAAGCUUGGAUAACAAUGUGAGAAAGGGCUUUGGAUGCAGUGGUUUGGUGAAAAAAUCAACUGCUUGUUCUGCACUAGAAACUGGAAGAAGCUUCAUAGUUUCAUCUUGUACCUUAUCUCUAACAAAGUGGCAAUCUAUUUCUAAGUGUUUUGUUCUUUCAUGGAAAACUGGAUUUGUUGCAAUAUGUAAUGCACUUUGAUUAUCACAGUAUAGAAUAUGCAGUUUUGCAUUAUUGAUCCUUAAAUCUCUCAGUAAGUAAAUCAGUCAUUGCAUCUCACAAGUUGCAGCUGAUAGUGCUCUAUAUUCUACUUCACUUGAGGAUCUGGAUACAGUAUUUUGUUUCUUGGUCCACCAUGAUACCAAGGAGGAACCAAGAAAGAAGCAAAAACCUGUUAUAGAUCUCCUUGUGUCAACACAGCCUGCCCAGUCUGCAUCUAUAAACCCUAAGAGUUGCAUAUUAGAUGACUUAGGAAAGAAUAAACCUUUGCCUGGUGAUCCUUUCAAGUACCAGAUGACCCACCAUGCAGCAUUGCAAUGUGUUUUAGUUGGUGCACACAAGAAUUGGCUAAGUUGUUGAACUACAAAACAAAUGGUUGGUCUUGUGUUAGUCAAAUAUAUCAGUCUACCUACAACUCUUAUGUAUGAGUAAAUAUCUUCAUAAGACUGGCCCCCAUCAUGGUGCAGCUUGAUAGAUGGAUCCAUAGGUGUAGUAACAGGUUUAGAACCCAGUAAACCAGAAUCAUUGAGCAAAUCUAAACAAUACUUUCUGAGAUACAGAAAUUCCCAGAUGAGAGUAUGCAACUUCAAGGCCAAGAAAAUAUUUGAGAUUACCCAAAUAAUCCUUGAUCUUAAACGAUGUGUCCAAUAGAGACUUGAUUCUUGUGAUUUCAGGCAAAAUUACCUGCUAGAAUGAUGUCAUCAACAUACACUGAGAGCAGUGAAUGUAUCAUUUGAAGCAUGAAUAAAGAGAGUGUGAUAUGCAGAAGCUUGCACAUAACCUUGUUGAGUGAGAAAGAUAGCAAGUUUCUCAUACCACUUAGGCUGCUUUAAACCAUAUAGUGAUUUGUCUAUCAUGCAAAUCACCAUGCAUGAAGGCAUUAUUCACAUCUAGUUGAAGCAGAAACCAGUUAUUGAUGGAAGCUAAAGCAAGAAGCAUUCUAACAGUUGUCAUUUUGGCUACAGGGGAAAAUGUUUCAAAAUGAUCUAACCUUUCAAUCUGACUGUAACCAUUAGCAACCAAUCUAGCUUUAUAUCUUUCAAUGGUCCCAUUUAAAUGAUAUUUGACUUUGAACACCCAUUUUCUUCCUAUAGGUUUGAUCUUGGGGGGUGUUAGCUUGUAAUUUCGACAUGCUCAUUUAAUAUGGUCAACAUUUGGUUGACCGUUAACUUUGUAGGAAUCAAAGGCUUUCUCAUUUCAAUUCGAGGAUUUCGACAGGAUGGCAAGCCUGGCGCGCAUGGUCUGAAGUUUGACAGAGCAAGGCUGAAAGAUAAAUCGCGUCGAAGUCAAGCAUUCAAGGCAGGAAAACACAUUUUCAAGCUCAAGAGCAGUUUCCUUAGUGGAAACGUAGGGACAAGCGGUUGUCCAAGAUGGAGAAAAUGUUGAUCAUGUGAUUAGUGUUUUGCCAAUCAGUUUCUUUUAGUAUUAAUAAGAGUUUACAAGUCGAAAAAUGGGUCGCAAAUCAUUUAUAGAAAUUUUACAACACUCAAACUACCGUCUAGGGAAACGAGUUAUAAAGAAUGUAUGUAAACUGAUUUGUAGACCAUUUUACUUUUAAUGCAAUGCAUUUUACAUUUCCUUUAAUUUAUGCGUUUAAACUUUUACUCUUUCCUUUAAUUUUGUCUUGCUUUUACUUGCAAUCUCAAACCUGUCGAGAGACAAUGCCCUUUUUAUUUAAAAACCCGUCUUGCUCUCUAAGUAACCUGAGUGCAUCUCGUGGCCUUUUUCAAACCGCUUUCGAUCAAAACCUUUGCACAACAUGUCCUGAAAUUUAUAGUUCGGUCGCUCUUGCAGACCAAGCAAAUCCGUUCACAAUGCACAACAUACAUAGUCUCUCAAGUUCUAGCAUUUUUGGUCGAAAUACUCUACCAGUCUUAACGACAGAUUCUAUGAACUUGUUAAGACAACAAAUGGAUGAGAGUAAUCAUGAAAUGGUUAAUUUAUUGACACAACAAAUCGGUAGGGUAUUUAAUCCUUUGAUAUGAGACACAAACCGGAUUACCAAGCCUCAACCAAUACUUAUGAAGUGUAUACAUUGUGAAUUUUUAUUCUCUUUAUAUUUACAACUUACUUUAAAAAUCAUAUCAAUAUCAUUUUUUAUUUACCAACUAAUUAAAAAAUUUGUUUUUACCAAAUAUGCUUCAUUUAAUCAGCUAAUUCCUCUGCUAUAAGCUAUAAAAUUGUCAAUUAUAAUUUACUUUAUCUGCUAGUUUAGCCAAUUAACUCAUAAAAUUCCAAACAAAAUAUAAUAUGGCUUCACUUGAAUAAAUUUUAGUGCAUAGUAGUACAAUAUUAUGUUAUGGGAAAAGCAAAACAGAACACUAUGAUAUCAUCACACCAGAAAACACAAUGAUUAAAGUUCCUAAAUGUUCUCAAAAUAUACUUUUUUUUGUAGAACUAAUUAAUAAUUAUGGAUCUUGUAAAUAUGUAAAUCCACCACAAGUAUCCCCCUCUUCAUUCACUUCAAAAGUCACUAGCUGAUUCUUUCCAUCCACCAGUCUCCUCCUCUUCAUUGUAACUCUGAUCAUCAUUUCUCUGCAACCAAUAAUUGAUAGUACAUUUUAAUAGGGAGAAAAAUAUGCAUAAAACUUUGAAGAAAAAUAAUAUAGAAAAAGAGAUUAUAUUGCCUUAUUACCUCAGGUGUAAAAGUGAGAGCAACCUUAAUCUCUCCACAAUAUUCUUCAUCCUUCACAAGAUUGUAAGCAUUCUCUGGAAGGCUACCCUCUUCAAACACUGCUUCUAAAGGAAUUCUAGAGAUAGAAAUGAAUGAAUAUUUAGUAUGCCAAAAUUGUCUAUGAGACGUCAGUGGUAAGAGUUUGACUAUGUAACUUUAAAGGACGCAGUUCAUAUCAUAUCUGAGUUAUUUUGAAAAAGUUAAAUUAGUCUAUCUAAAUUGAUAUCGAAGAGAAUCGAACCUAAGAUCUUGAUGAGAAGCACACUCUUAGAUCUAAACCAAUACCACCAGGUGAAUCGUCAACACAAGUGGAUUAUCUUUAUAAAUAAUUAGUAUCCAAAAAUUGAAAAUUGCCCCUUUGUGCCCUCCUUUAGGUGUAAAUUUUCAACCAAACAAGUUUAAGAGACCAACUUUCAAAGAGAAUCCAACUUUACACUUCCUUCAGAAUGAAUAUAAACAAAAGUGGUAGUUGCAAAGUCAAUAUAUGUGUCUAAAAAUUGUCCACAUACAUCAACUUUUCACCUACUUUUUUUGCUUGCAUUUCAUUCGGAUGAAGUAUUUUUUAAAUUGCAGUUACAAAGAUG